rnacentral:rRNA from 1 species
UACGUAGGGUGCGAGCGUUGUCCGGAAUUAUUGGGCGUAAAGAGCUCGUAGGCGGUCUGUCGCGUCGAUCGUGAAAACUUGGGGCUUAACCCUGAGCUUGCGGUCGAUACGGGCAUGACUGGAGUUCGGCAGGGGAGACUGGAAUUCCUGGUGUAGCGGUGGAAUGCGCAGAUAUCAGGAGGAACACCGGUGGCGAAGGCGGGUCUCUGGGCAGUGAACUGACGCUGGAGGAGCGAA